GGAGGAAGCAGGAAGACCAGCUGGGAAUGAGAGAUGAUUGUGAUGUGGAUUGAGGUUGUGACUGUAAAGGUUUGGAAGUUCUUAUGUUGACACUGCUGAGCAGCAAUGAUGGAAGAAGCGAGUGAAGAAGCUACUACAGUAACCCAGGAGGAGAUAAUGGGUGCUUGGACCUAGGAGGCCAUGAAGGGGGUCGGUGCCUUACACAACGUCGAGUUCAAGGAUUAUCAGUGCCAAGAAGCGUUAAGGGGUAGACAUCUUCAAAGAGGCUGUGUUUAAACUUUCUAUUAAAAGCCAUGAACAUUCCCCUUUCACGUAAUAACAGGAUAUCAGUGGAGACAAACGGAUAUAACACUAUCUUCCUGGUUUCUUCACCAUUCUCUCUAGUCUUCUGUAUAAAUAGAAUUUACAUUAUAGUGAUUAAAAGUCCCC